rnacentral:lncRNA from 1 species
UCCAUAAGUGCUCUUUUAAUAAACUGACUCUGCAUUUGCACUCAUUAAAAACCAAUUCACUAAAAUUUAUUUAAACCCAUUAUUUGAUUCCCAUUUCUUUCUUCUUUUCAUAGUAUCUCUGUAAAUGAAAACUUUCAGCAAGUCAUCAACAACACUGUUUCUUGGCAUGAACAAGGAAUCAUUCAAAUGACUGUGAAAGACUACAUGAGAUCUCUGCACGAGUUUUCAGAAACUCCUACCCUAUCAAGAAGGACCAGUUUCAAUUCGUGCCAUCCUACCCCAAG